UAAUUACAGGUACAUCCUGCCCAGUGAAUUAAUUAAACGGCCGCGGUAUCCUGACCGUGCAAAGGUAGCAUAAUCAUUUGCCCCUUAAUUAGGGGCUAGCAUGAAUGGACAAACGAGAUUAUACCUGUCUCCUCUAUACCUAUAAAAAUUAAUCUACAGGUGAAGAAGCCUGUAUUUUUAUAAAAGACAAGAAGACCCUGUCGAGCUUUAAUUAUUUAUAAUAUAACGCAAUAUCUAUGCCCCCUCUUAUAAAUAAUCUUUGUUGGGGCGACAAUGGAGUAUAAAAACCCUCCACUACAAUCUAGACACCGAGUCACCCAAAAAAUCCCCAAAAGGAAGCUGGAACUAGCUACCGCAGGGAUAACAGACUAAUCUUCCUCAAGAGCCCAAAUCUACAGGAAGGCUUGGCACCUCGAUGUUGGCUUAGGAUCACAUUUGAAUGCAGAAGUUCAAAAUGUGGGUUUGUUCAACCCUUAAUCUCCU
rnacentral:rRNA from 1 species